ACAGGAAAUUCUUGAUGCAUACCUUUGAUUUUGCUGCAUGAAUCUUCAUUACCCUAAUAUCUGUUGACAUACUGUGAAUCUGGCACAGAAAAAUUUGAACUAACAAUGUUAGAAUGAAUGCUGCGGUUCUAGCUGGAACACUCAGUGUUCAUAGUCUUGAUUACAGCUAUGGAAGGUUUGCCAAAUACAUCUCGUCGUCAUUACGUGGUUUCUUCUUAUGUCAUGGCAUUCUGGAGUCCAUUGUUACCUGAAAUUGCUGUGACUACAAGACUAGCAGAAUGAGGUUCAGGUUAUUCAUAAGGAUCAGCCAAAGAGUACAAAAGAGAUGACAUUGUGAUUAAAUGAAGAAAAGUCAAAAAGUGUGAAAAACUUUAUAUGGAAACUAGUAGCAAAUUUUAGAGGUUUACAGAUACUUUUUCUGAUGUUUGCUAACUAUAAUGAGGUUGAAGAUAUAGCCACUCUACAUAAAGCUGAAAUUUCAAGAUGACACAAUAAGAUCCAUUUUUUUUUCUGGGAAAAUAAUUUUUAAAAAUCCCAGAAGAUUAAAUAAACCAGCUGCGAUACACAUCCUGUGGCAAGAGAGAGACAAUUCAGCAUGCAGACAGUUUAUUUCUUACAUUUCUCCCAAGGAGAUCGAUUCCUUUCUGGAAAGGGUGUAGUGCUAUGGCUGGAGCUUGCAGUGCCAUGGACAUUGGGGUUUUUUUAGAGAUCCUUGGAGUAGCUGCAUAAAAAUUACUAUUUAUAUAGGUUGUAAUGUUACUUCUGUGCCAGUAGUGCUAUAUUAUACAGCUAAACAUCCUGACAUGUAAUACCAGAGAGUACAGAAAGGUACAGAGUGAAAGUACCAGCCAUUUCUAAUUUGUGUUAAUAUCAUAAAGACAGAAUAUUUGACAGAAAAAAAGCCAACUGAAACUACUCAGUACCCAUGAGCAUCACUAUUUAUUAAGCUAACACUUUUCUCAUUCACUACCAUGUGUAAAAAAAAAUGCAUUUAUUAAUGUCAAAAAAACAUUCCAUCUGUUAUCAGGGAUUUUUUUUCCAAGUAUCUGAAUGCCUGUGACAUUGCAAAAAUGUAUUAUGUUUUAUAAAUCCUAUUACUGUUUCAUACAGAGGACUGUGGAAAGGCUACUGUUUUGCUAGAGGCUACCAAAUAUUGCUUUCUGUGUUAUAAUUCACAGUAAUUUGAAAUAAUGAUGACAUUUGGCUUUGGAAUGUACUUUUCUUUAGGCGACCAGAAUUUUUAUGGUGCACUUGAUAGAUGCUAGUAUAAGAAAAGAAAAAGCAAUGAUCACUGUAUGAUUUAUUUUUGCUACAGGUGAACCCUGCAAUUUAGCUCUUGUCAGCAUGCAAAUUGAAGUUGUCUUAUGCUAUUUAGCUUGGUUAGAUAGCACUAAUGUGAUUGCUUAUGCACCUUCUGUUUCAUGGACUUGAAGUGCUCAUUUGAGGCUCAUCAGCAAUAAGCUAUCUUUGGUGACAGCUACUGUAAAUGUACUCUGGAGAAACUGAUUUAAGAAACUAGAGCUUUUCAAGGGCAGCCUACUGGUAUUGUCAGGAGCUGGGAGUCCUGAUGACAUGAGGAACAACAAAUGAGUGAGGGACCUUGCAACCCCAGCUUAACCCAAAAGAUAUUCAG